UACGUAGGGGGCAAGCGUUGUUCGGAAUUACUGGGCGUAAAGGGCGCGUAGGCGGCACGGCAAGUCGGGAGUGAAAGCCCGGGGCUCAACCCCGGAACGUCUUUCGAAACUGCCGAGCUAGAGUGCGGAAGGGGCAACUGGAAUUCCCAGUGUAGCGGUGAAAUGCGUAGAUAUUGGGAAGAACACCUGAGGCGAAGGCGGGUUGCUGGGCCGACACUGACGCUGAGGCGCGAAAGCGGUGGGGAGCGAACAGG
rnacentral:rRNA from 1 species